UUAAUACACUGCUCUGAUAGGAUAGUCUGAUAGGUUAGUUUAAUACACUGCUCUGAUAGGUUAGUUUAAUACUCUGCUCUGAUAGGUUAGUUUAAUACACUGCUCUGAUAGGUUAGUUUAAUACACUGCUCUGAUAGGUUAGUCUGAUAGGUUAGUUUAAUACACUGCUCUGAUAGGAUAGUCUGUUAGGUUAAUUUAAUACUCUGCUCUGAUAGGGUAGUUUAAUACACUGCUCUGAUAGGGUAGUUUUAUACACUGCUCUGAUAGGGUAGUUUUAUACACUGCUCUGAUAGGUUAGUUUUAUACACUGCUCUGAUAGGAUAGUCUGAUAGGUUAGUUUAAUACACUGCUCUGAUAGGAUAGUCUGACAGGUUAGUUUAAUACACUGCUCUGAUAGGUUAGUUUAAUACACUGCUCUGAUAGGAUAGUCUGAUAGGGUAGUUUAAUACUCUGCUCUGAUAGUCUGAUAGGUUAGUUUUAUACACUGCUCUGAUAGGGUAGUUUAAUACACUGCUCUGAUAGGGUAGUUUAAUACACUGCUCUGAUAGGUUAGUUUAAUACACUGCUCUGAUAGGGUAGUUUAAUACACUGCUCUGAUAGGGUAGUUUUAUACACUGCUCUGAUAGGAUAGUCUGAUAGGUUAGUUUAAUACACUGCUCUGAUAGGUUAGUUUAAUACACUGCUCUGAUAGGUUAGUUUAAUACACUGCUCUGAUAGGAUAGUCUGAUAGGGUAGUUUAAUACACUGCUCUGAUAGGAUAGUCUGAUAGGUUAGUUUUAUACACUGCUCUGAUAGGGUAGUUUAAUACACUGCUCUGAUAGGUUAGUUUAAUACACUGCUCUGAUAGGUUAGUUUAAUGCUCUGAUAGGUUAGUUUUAUACACUGCUCUGAUAGGAUAGUUUAAUACACUGCUCUGAUAGGGUAGUUUAAUGCUCUGAUAG
ensembl:lncRNA